AUUGAACGCUGGCGGCAGGCUUAACACAUGCAAGUCGAACGAGUGGCGGACGGGUGAGUAAUGUCUGGGAAUCUGGCUUAUGGAGGGGGAUAACUACGGGAAACGGUAGCUAAUACCGCGUACCAUCGGAUGUGCCCAAAUGGGAUUAGGUAGUUGGUUAGGUAAAGGCUCACCAAGCCGACGAUCUCUAGCUGGUCUGAGAGGAUGACCAGCCACACUGGGACAGAGACACGGUCCAGACUCCUCCGGGAGGCAGCAGUGGGUAAUAUUGCGCAAUGGGGGCAACCCUGACGCAGCCAUGCCGCGUGAAUGAAGAAGGCCUUCGGGUUGUAAAGUUCUUUCGGUUGCGAGGCGUUAGCUGCAGAAGAAGCACCGGCUAACUACGUGCCAGCAGCCGCGGUAAUUC
rnacentral:rRNA from 1 species